GAGGUCCCGAGUUCGAUUCCUGGUACCAAAAAAAAAAAAAAAGUGGUUAGAAAAAGUAAGCAUGACUGUAAUUCUAGCUCCCUGGGAGGCUGAGGCAGGAGGAUCACUGGUACCCACAGGUAAGAUCAGCCUGGCAACACUGCAAAGCCCCACCUCAAAAAUGGGAGGUAGAACACUUGGAAUGCCAAAGGCAUUGCCUUGUCCUUUAACCAGAACCAGCAGUCUUCAGGUCUAGCACGGCUGCGGUUUGCGGUUAUUACACCUUUAUCGGCACAGAGAGUGAGCAGUAGCCGCGUGUUGAAUCUGCUCACGGCAGCUCUGAGAGCAACACAGCAGCCCCUUUCCCGGAGCCUCCGCAUCCCAGUGCAGCAACAAUUACGUCCUGAUGUCUUCACAGCCACCGAGUAUAACCAGUCACUGUUGGCUCACUCACGUGUGAGGGAGUAACGUUUCGGGAAGGUUUUCACAAAGGAAGAUUGCCGUAGCCCUCCCUCCGCCAGUGCUCCCUGGAUUGCCGGCUGCACGUAAGGUGGAGGUCGCACGUGGGCCAGCUUUUAGGGCGAAGUGAAAUAAAAGUUUAUUACGGGAAAGAUACACAGACGCCAGCGGCAAGGACAGAUGUCUGGCCCCCAGCACCCCUGUCUGCGGUUGCACCCCCUGUGUGGCCCACAGGCUCCCUGCCUGGUGUCCUCUGCCUGUCCCCUCCUCUGUCCCACCCCAACUCAAGUCCCUGCAUGUCUGAGUCCACUCUGCAGCUCCUUGCUGUUUGUCCGGCCACCCCGCCUCUCUGAGUCUUCGCGUCUGUGUUUCCGCACACUCAUCUCGGGAGUGGGCCACAAGGUGGUGUGCUUCCUGACACCGGACGGCAAAACUGUCCACCCGGCUCUGCCUCGCUUUCGGACACAGUGCCUGAGACCCCGGGCCAGAAGAGCCAGUCUUCUCAGACGCUAGGAGCUGGCGGGGGAGGGGGGGCCCCGGGCUACCUGUUGGGCCCCUUGCCAGGAAGCCCAGCUGACCUAUGGCAGGAGAGAGGCUGCGGCCGUGGGGCAGCGGGCAGGGUCAGAGCUCCAGGUGGGCGCACGCAGCAGGCACCUGUCUAGCUGCUCCUGAGCCGAGGCCUUCCUCACAGACCAUGGUCUGUGAGCAGGUGACGUACCCAAGCUCAGAGCAAGGAAGCGCUGCUGAAGAAACAGCCCUGCUGGAGGGCGCUCGGCGGCAGCUGUCUGCCCCCUGCAGGAGGCCCUGGUGGGACUCCAGGACUGGAAGCAGCAAGAGGAAGUGUCUCACGCUGAAACUCAAGGGCCAGCUGGGAAGGCGACACACGACAGACAGCACUGCAGACUGUGAGCUGAGGCUGCUCUCACCACCAGGCAGCCUCCGCCUGAGGUAAACGGUUUGACCUCAGCUGUGCAGCUUUCCCUAGACCUGCUCCAUCCCUCAUCCCUGCGGACGCCUUCCUCCUCAUGCUCCUGCAGUGCUCGCCGGUGAUCGCUGUGUCCUCUGUGUGUAAGUGUGACACGAAAAGGUAAAAGGGCAAUGAGAGAGGAGGAGAUGUGUGGCCGAGGGAAGGGCGGACAUGGUUGAAAUGGUCAAAGCAGGUUCCAAGCAUGUGUGAGUCUGCCGGGAUGAAACCCACCAUCUGUAUAAGUAAUAAGCACUAGAAAUAUGUGUGAGUUGCCUCAGUUUCUCUCUCUUGGGAGCACUCACUCAGGGCAACUUGGGUUGGUGUCCACAGGCUGAGGUCACAGCCUGGGCCCAGAAGAAGCUGCUUUCUCUUUCCCUCUGAGGAAAGCCGUCCUAACACAUCCCGAAGGAGGCGCUGUGAACACCACUGCAGAGCAGGCGGUGAGCGCUGGCGCAGGGACACAAGUGGCGCCUGACGCUGAUGCGGACGCCACGAAUGCACCUCAGACGCUCCGAGGGCCGAAGACUCAGGCGCCCCCACUGCCGGAAGCCAAGUGCAUGAAUAUAACAGAAACGGCCUGUUUGCUGUCUUACUCUCUUAGCAGGAGGAAUACGCUUUUAAGAGGGCUUGUCAUGGAUUCUUAGCCAGAAGAGCGGAACACUGGGUCCCACCGACACAGCCGUGACUUCUCUACUGUAAAUUUUUACUUUAGCAUAAAUAGUAGCUGGCUGUGCGUCUCAGUACCUUUGCCUGAGGGACACAGGAAGCAGCCUGCGUGUUUACCUACUUCGUGCUAGGAGGACUCCGUACAAUGAAAGGCAAGGUCUGUGCACGUGUGCAAGGGUGUCCAACCAGGAUUUGCACUGACAUUAUGCUCCAUCUAGCAGGUUUGGCGUAUGUUUACCUGAGCAUCGCAGAGGGUAUAAUACACACACCGCUCUUGGAUUUGUUUUCUAAGAAGUUCUCUUUUGAUUUUUCUGGUAGAAGUAGCCCAGUUCAGUACAACAGUGCAUGAAAAAAUCAGACUUGCAAGUUUUGGAGGAGGUCAAAAGUGAGUCAUCAGGUUACUCAUGCAUGGAUGAUGAAGAUGAUCCAUUACGGUAAAUACAUGUUUUCGUAUCAGAUGAGAAGUGGGGGUGGAUGAUGAUGAUGAUGAUGACUCUGAUAUCACCCAUGUGAGCCAAAGCUCCUGGGACAGUGAAAUGGAGCAAGAACUGAUUGAUACAGUCACAGGGAACGCAGGGCUUCCUGAUUCAGAUGACAAAGCAGCAAUGUGAGCACAUACUUGACUAGUGGAAGUGUUGCGAGAGCUAUGUCCCAAAAUGUAGUGAGGGUCUCAGCAGGGGUGAAACCUACUGGAAUGCCAGCACUGCUGUUCGAUGUUAGAAAUCGUAAUGGACAGAAUGCUACAAGAUGCUGUGAAAUACCAAAGGCUGAGGUACAAGUAAAACAUUGUGUGUGCACCAAUAGUCAUAUUAUAUUUAUUAUGACACCUCACCAGCUGAACUGAGAGCAUUCAUGGGUCUGCCGUACUUAGCACCAAUUUCUUCUGGUGAUCACAGGAAUGUAAAAGAUUUAUGGAAAAAUAAUGGGUCAAAAUAUGGCAUAAAAAUGUAUGCCCUGUAGGUGAGAAUACUGAUUAUGCUUCCAGUUUAGACAUUUGUCCUGGAGCGCAGCCGCUGGGUCCUUCUUUGUAUAAUAAACAUUGAAUGGUGUUGCUCCCAUCUCCCAAACAAAUCAGAGUGUGACCGUCGACAAUCGGUUUACUGAUCUCGCAUGGUGACCUUCACUGACAGAGCACAAGGUGACCAGCGCUGGAACUGUGCACAGGAACAAAGCAGAAAUCCCAAAUGAAGUGUUGCGGUUUCAAAACAGAGAGUUGUAUAGUACAAUUUUUGACUUUCAGGAAGAUAUAACAUUGGCCGCAUAUAUGCUAAAGAAAAGCAAACUGAUACUGCUGAUGUCAGCAUUUCACCAUGAUGGAAAUGCUGAUAGGGAAACCUCGACAAAACGGAAGCCUGAGAUUCAAACUUUCUACAACAACACCAAAGAAGGAGUAGAUACUGUUGAUGAGUUAUAUAUGAUGUCACUCUAAGCAAAAAGCAUUGGCCAAUGGUUGUGUUUUACUAGGCCCUAAACAUGUGUGACAUUAAUAGUUUGAUAGUUUACAAGGAAAAAAUAACAAGUGCAAAAUACCAUGAAGAAAUUUUCUUAGAGAAUUGGGGCUGGAGUUCAUAAGAGAACAUUUCCAGCAGAGGAAAACCAAAAUAUUUCUGCCCAGGGAACGACACACAAAAAUUGUGGAGUGCACUGGUGAGCCGACAGGUGAACAGGCAGGUGCAGCACCCCAAAGACCUACCACGGCAACAGGAAAACACAAAAGAUGUCAGCUGAGUCCUACAAGAAAGGACAGGAAAACAAGACACAGGUGCUGUCAGUGUGAGUGAUGCUUGUGUACGGAAGAUGCAGUUUUCAUGUGUGAAGACUGCCGUGGGUGCGACAGUUGAAGCAAAGAUUUUUUUUUCCGCUACCAAGAAUAGA